rnacentral:lncRNA from 1 species
AUAAAAACAAAAAAACAAAAAAAAAAAAAAAAAAAGCAAAUGGAGGCUGCUUUGGUGUUCUAUCACACCAAAGUCAAAAUGGCUCGCAUCUCAACGACAAAACAGAACGAAACAGGACAGCAAAUGCUGGCAAGAUGCGAAGGCAGAGAAACGCCCAUGCUUGGCUGGUGAGAGUGUAAACGUGUGUAUCCGCCGCGGCAGUCAGUGUGGAGGUUCCUCAGAAGGCUAAAAGUAGAGCUACCACAUUACCCCAGUUACACCACACUUGGGUGCGUGCGUGCGUGCGUGCGUGCGUGCGUGCAGGUGAUGAGGAGACGAGAAAGAGGAAGAGAGGAAGAGGCCUUAAGGAGGCAAGCAGUGAGGGAGAGAAGAAAAAUAAGGAGUCCACAGGAAAAGAAAGCAGAAGGAAGAAGGCUCAAGAUUCGGGAACACACACUGGCCUGCAUGGACGAUUCUGAAUUUUGUUUCAACGUGAUGAGAAGUCCCUGUUGCUACAUCUCACCAGGGUGACGUCAGCGGCCUGCUUCCCUAAAGACCCAGCUAGAAUCAUCCUGACAGACACAGAUGUAUUCUGAUUAAAACCGGG